rfam:Echinostoma caproni strain Egypt genome assembly, scaffold: ECPE_scaffold0004471
GGCCUCGUAGCUCAGCUGGUAGAGCAUGCGCGUACAAAGCGUAGGCGGUGUCCAUACGUGGGUUCGAAUCCCACUGAGGCUA